AUUGAACGCUGGCGGAAUGCUUUACACAUGCAAGUCGAACGGUAGAGGGGCAACCCUUGAGAGUGGCGAACGGGUGAGUAAUGUAUCGGAACAUGCCCAGUCGUGGGGGAUAACGUAGCGAAAGUUACGCUAAUACCGCAUACGAUCUAUGGAUGAAAGCGGGGGAUCGCAAGACCUCGCGCGAUUGGAGUGGCCGAUAUCAGAUUAGGUAGUUGGUGGGGUAAAGGCCUACCAAGCCGACGAUCUGUAGCUGGUCUGAGAGGACGACCAGCCAAACUGGGACUGAGACACGGCCCAGACUCCUACGGGAGGCAGCAGUGGGGAAUUUUGGACAAUGGGCGCAAGCCUGAUCCAGCCAUUCCGCGUGCAGGAAGAAGGCCUUCGGGUUGUAGACUGCUUUUGUACGGAACGAAACGCGCUGAGCUAAUACCUCGGCGUAAUGACGGUACCGUAAGAAUAAGCACCGGCUAACUACGUGCCAGCCGCCGCGGUAACAC
rnacentral:rRNA from 1 species